rnacentral:sRNA from 1 species
GCUCUAGAAGAUGCUGCUAAUGAAUCCUUUGGGGGAAGGGCUUUUAAGCAUCCUUUUUACCCAAAAGUCACAUCAUACGCCGCCACAGCCUGAUCUGAGCAAGUUCUAUACCACCUUUGAUCUCAAAGCCUCUCCCUGAGCAGGACCACCCCAUAACUUCAGGCUCAGUACAUCUCCCUUCUGUAUGUGACAGAGCUCUCCAGUGGGUCCUUUGUUAACCCAGAGAAUGGCUCUCUUCCUAGGUGACAUUACAGUGGAGGGCUGGAUGGAGAACGGCCAUUGCAGACAGGGAAGUUGUCAUCAUUGUGGUGGUAUUGCUCAUGUGGGCUGCUGUGAUCGGGCUAUUCUGCCGUCAGUAUGACAUCAUCAAGGACAACGACUCUAACAACAACCCCAAGGAGAAGGGGAAGGGGCCUGAACAGAGUCCUCAGGGAAGGCCAGUGGGGACCAGACAGAAAAAGUCCCCAUCCAUCAACACCAUUGACGUUUGAGUGAAUGAAGAACCAGAACCAGAAGAGAGGAUACACUCACUGUAUGACUCUGUGGGGGUGAGGCAGGGCCAGGGAAAGCCUAUGAUGGUGAUUUGCUUGAGACUCCCACAAGGCAGUACGCUCCCAGAAUCUCAGGCUGGUACCCAUCCUCUUUCCACUGUGAGCAGGGCCAGAAUGUAGGUCUGAUAGACUCUGUACCCUUGGGCCUGGAAGUGGAUAUCAAAUAGAGCAUCUCCUCCCAUCCCCCAGGUCCAGGGGAGAAUCACUUAUUCAACCCUAUUCCACUAGGUCCUGAAUAGGGGCCCCAUGUCACCUGUAUCAGGACUAUUGGCACCCACUAGCUGCCCCUACAGCUUGCCUCUGGGCCCCGGAGAGGGGUGUUUCUAUCAGUGUUGCCCUCCUCCAGUAAGAACGAUCUGGGCCUAGAGGCAGCGGGUGUACUGCACUAUUCCAAUGUCUUCCACGGAGCCUCCGGUGCUCCUCCCUCACCUGGCAGUCCCUCCAGCUGUAGGUGAUCUCACCCCUGGGACGUUUUUUCCAAUAAAGGUUCUUGGACAAACUGGAACUGACUGGUAUACGGUAUGGUAUGCUGAAGACAUCUCUACACCUUGUCAGUUCUCCUCACGCCUCCACCGACCUGAAAGGACAGAGUCAUUCUAAGAUGUUUGCAUCAAUGAAUCCAUGUUUUCAUCUAGGAUGGGCAGAGAAAGACAAAAGGGAAUGGGGGAAUGGAAAACCAGCGGCCUCCCUUCUUUGUCUUUGAUGAAUGAGAAGAGAGAAAAAUGAGAAGUCACAGAUGUUUUCAUACCAACGGAAACCAGGCCAUGUCACAUAAAAGGGCCAGUAGUUUGUUUUUUUUUUUUUUUUUUUUUUUUAGUUUUUGUUCAGGACCUUGUGUGUACUAAUCAAAUGUUCUACCCUUGUGUUAUAUAACCAAUUCCUUCCCCACUCUUUUGACUCCACCACUCACUUUGAGGAAAUGGUCCGAAGGGCUGAGUUGUCUUGGGAACUGACGGGAGAGCAGUCACCAUUAAUGUGCCCUUGGUGCCAUGUGUCCUCACCCCGGGCACACCAUUGCCUCUUCUUCGUUUUCUUCUUCAUCUAUGUCUCUGUUCACUCAAAGUUAACAAUAAUUGUAAUCCAUAAAUGAGUUUAUAUUUAUACUCUAACAUGUCCAGAGGAUUCUAGAAAUAAAGCUGAGGGGUUUGGAUGCCCCUGUCCAAAAAAAUUAUAA